AUGAUCUUCGCCAACCCCCUUCGUUCCGAGCUCGACACCCUCCUUCACUUACUUGAAGAGUUUGGCAAUGCCACAGGGCUCCACAUCAAUUUAGAUAAAUCUUCAGUUGCCCCAAUUAGAUGUGAAGGCAUCGACCUGUAGGGCGUUCUUCACGGUUUCCGCGGUAGUACCAUAGGUUUCCCGCUCUGCUACCUUGGCCUCCCCAUUACAAUCUCCCGUGUGCGCCUGGUACAUCUUCAGUUCAUCAUCAACAGAAUUAGAGCUAGAUUUACGGCAUGGAAAGGGCGACUCAUGUCCAUUGCAGGGUGUUAGGUACUCGUCCGGUCCGUCCUAACGGCACUGCCCACCUUUGCCCUGAAGGUCCUGCGCGUCCCAAAAAAGCUUCUCAAAGACAUUGACAAGUGCAGGUGGCAUUUUCUCUAG
rnacentral:rRNA from 1 species